rnacentral:rRNA from 1 species
CAGUGGGGGGGGGCCUAUACAUGCAAGUCGAACGAGUUCUGAUUAUUGAAAGGUGCUUGCAUCUUGAUUUAAUUUUGAACGAGUGGCGGACGGGUGAGUAACACGUGGGUAACCUGCCCUUAAGUGGGGGAUAACAUUUGGAAACAGAUGCUAAUACCGCAUAAAUCCAAGAACCGCAUGGUUCUUGGCUGAAAGAUGGCGUAAGCUAUCGCUUUUGGAUGGACCCGCGGCGUAUUAGCUAGUUGGUGAGGUAACGGCUCACCAAGGCAAUGAUACGUAGCCGAACUGAGAGGUUGAUCGGCCACAUUGGGACUGAGACACGGCCCAAACUCCUACGGGAGGCAGCAGUAGGGAAUCUUCCACAAUGGACGCAAGUCUGAUGGAGCAACGCCGCGUGAGUGAAGAAGGCUUUCGGGUCGUAAAACUCUGUUGUUGGAGAAGAAUGGUCGGCAGAGUAACUGUUGUCGGCGUGACGGUAUCCAACCAGAAAGCCACGGCUAACUACGUGCCAGCAGCCGCGGUAAUACGUAGGUGGCAAGCGUUAUCCGGAUUUAUUGGGCGUAAAGCGAGCGCAGGCGGUUUUUUAAGUCUGAUGUGAAAGCCCUCGGCUUAACCGAGGAAGUGCAUCGGAAACUGGGAAACUUGAGUGCAGAAGAGGACAGUGGAACUCCAUGUGUAGCGGUGAAAUGCGUAGAUAUAUGGAAGAACACCAGUGGCGAAGGCGGCUGUCUGGUCUGUAACUGACGCUGAGGCUCGAAAGCAUGGGUAGCGAACAGGAUUAGAUACCCUGGUAGUCCAUGCCGUAAACGAUGAAUGCUAGGUGUUGGAGGGUUUCCGCCCUUCAGUGCCGCAGCUAACGCAUUAAGCAUUCCGCCUGGGGAGUACGACCGCAAGGUUGAAACUCAAAGGAAUUGACGGGGGCCCGCACAAGCGGUGGAGCAUGUGGUUUAAUUCGAAGCAACGCGAAGAACCUUACCAGGUCUUGACAUCUUUUGAUCACCUGAGAGAUCAGGUUUCCCCUUCGGGGGCAAAAUGACAGGUGGUGCAUGGUUGUCGUCAGCUCGUGUCGUGAGAUGUUGGGUUAAGUCCCGCAACGAGCGCAACCCUUAUGACUAGUUGCCAGCAUUUAGUUGGGCACUCUAGUAAGACUGCCGGUGACAAACCGGAGGAAGGUGGGGAUGACGUCAAAUCAUCAUGCCCCUUAUGACCUGGGCUACACACGUGCUACAAUGGAUGGUACAACGAGUUGCGAGACCGCGAGGUCAAGCUAAUCUCUUAAAGCCAUUCUCAGUUCGGACUGUAGGCUGCAACUCGCCUACACGAAGUCGGAAUCGCUAGUAAUCGCGGAUCAGCACGCCGCGGUGAAUACGUUCCCGGGCCUUGUACACACCGCCCGUCACACCGAUGAGAGUUUGUAACACCCGAAGCCGGUGGCGUAACCCUUUUAGGGAGCGAGCCGUCUAAAGGGACCAAAAUUC